CUAAAACAAAACUGUAUGGUUUUCAACAAUGAGCAAAACCCAUACCCCAUAGUAAGCUAUAAAAGGUCUCGAAAUGACGCCACUUUCGAUGACGUUGUUGUGUCUCACUGCCGCUACGUUUAUGUCGCAGGCUCGACACAAAUCAAAAGACUAAUACGUUUUCGUUAAAAAAAAAAUUAACUCACACUUAAGUCACAGUAAAAUCGGAGGAGGGGGGCUCGGACUAAGCGACAAAG
rnacentral:lncRNA from 1 species